CAAUAUAAUAAUAUUGACUCGAACAGUAUAUAUUUUGUGACUAUGUACACAAAUACAAAUAUAUAUAUAUAUACAUGCUAUAAUGUUAAACCAGCAUGAUACCAUUGUCGGACGUUAAACAACGCUCUAUAAUAUUCAUCUCGGUCAAUAUUGUCUUUUUCGCCAUUCGCGGGGGGGGGGGUUCGACUACGGUUGUUACGCAAAACAAUUGACCUUUAUACACGCGACCGGUAUUAUUUCAUGAAAGGCGGGUUAGGGAGACGUUAACCUUUAAUGGCAGUCCAACCUUUACAACCGAUUUUAGUCUAAUAUUUUACGCUACCAAUAAUAGGUGGAUAUACAACUUAUAUUACAGGUACACCGUUACUUAUACUUAAAAUUAUACUACUCGUUAUUGGUUGAUAUGUUUUAGUUAUUAUAAACAUCGGCGGUCUAUAUGCAAAAAGGUAACCGGGUUACCCUGGAUUUUCACCACUAAAAAACACAAUGAAAAUAAUAUUUUACACAAAAAUGUUUACAAUAAAUUACAAAUUGUAUAAUGUACAGAGUGACCAUAUUAAAUCAACAUAGUAAGUUAUUAAAUUAUAACAGCUUUAUAUUUUGUAACUUUGACCUUUGUAUAUAGUAAUUACAUUUAAUAUAAUCUUAUCAAUACU